AUACGAAGGUGGCAAGCGUUAUUCGAAAUCACUGGGCUUAAAGGGCGCGUAGGCGGACAUGCAAGUGUCUUGUGAAAUCCCCCGGCUUAACCGGGGAAUUGCUCGGCAAACUGCAUGUCUUGAGUCAAGUAAGGGUGUGUGGAACUCCUGGUGGAGCGGUGGAAUGCGUAGAUAUCAAGAGGAACGCCGAAGGUGAAGACAGCACACUGGGCUUGAACUGACGCUGAGGCGCGAAAGCGUGGGGAGCAAACAGGAUUAGAUACCCUGGUAGUCCACGCCGUAAACGAUGUGUACUAGGUCGCGGAGGUUCUGACACCGUCGCGGUCGAAGCAAAAGUGUUAAGUACACCGCCUGGGGAGUACGGUCGCAAGGCUAAA
rnacentral:rRNA from 1 species